ensembl:lncRNA
CUGCCAUCUAUGGGGUCGCACAGAGUCAGACACAACUGAAGCGACUUAGCAGCAGUAGCAGCAGGAGAAUGCCUAUUUUUAGGAGAUACCUACUGAAGUAGUUAGGGAUGAAGUAUCAGUAUCUGCAAUCUACUUUGAAAUGGUUCAGUGAAAAAAAGGAAAGCUUUUUCUGUAGAGUGAUAAAGCAAAUGUGGCAGGAUGUUAACAAUUGUUAUAUUAGGUAGAGCGGUGAGUAAUAGGGAAGAACCUUUGUAUUCUAUUAGAAGCUAAUCACUAACGGGAUGUUGCCUAUAAGCUUAAAUUAUAUAUAAUGGUGCAUCUCUGGGGAACUUGCCUCCCAGGUAAUGAGCAUUAAGUUAAAAUACCUUUGUUUAGCUCACAGGAAACAACCUGACCAGGCCCACCUGUGAAAGACUACAGGCAGGAAGAAAUUAACAUCCCUUUAGGAGGCUGACAGGAACCAGGACAUGUUUGACUUUACUUUUCCUCCUUUUAGUAGAAAAGAAGCGUGAAUUCUAACUCAGGCAAGAUGGUUCUUUGGGACAUGAGUCCACCAUUUUCUCAGACUGCUGGCCUUCUGAAUAAAGCCGCCACUCCUUGCUCCAAAAACUUAUCUUUUGAUUUAUUGGCCUGUCAUGCAGCAAGCAGUACAAACUUGAACUUGGUAACAAAUUUUGUUGUAGUCAGUCAAAAGCCUUGUUGCUCAUGGCUAGCCAGCCCUGGUUGGGGGAUUUUCAGGUAAGGCCUUAGCAGAUGCUGGCGUUCCUCAUCCUGAGGAUCUUCCCUUUGAAUUUCCCUGAGGCAGCACCGGCUGCCCCAGUGCUUGGCAGUCAGAGCAAAGAAUCAACAUUUGGGAGCCAAUGGGAUGCAUACAGUAUGACAAAGAAAUUUUGUGAUAUUUAAGACUUAUACUGAUGUCAAAUGGAGGAAAGGAUCAAGAAAAAAAAAAGGAAAAAAAACCUGUCUGUUCUUGUCCAAGACUGGGACAUCCCCAAGAAGAAGAGAAAGGUUCCACUUGGCUCCUAAAAUCACAAAAAUGUAUGAGUAGAAGUGUCUUUUCCAUAAAUAUUAUUAUAAAAGGGUAUUGCCAUCUAGACAAGUUAGCUUGAUUUCUCACAUCUGCCAGAAACCCAAUUUGAAUCUCUUUUGUAACUGAUGGGCUUUACAUUGCUGUACCUGAUGCAUGACUGAAUCUUUGGAAUGGGAGCUUUGAGGUCCCUGUGUUUGUGUGUUUGUAUGUGUAUAAUAGAUGUGUGGCACUGCCAAAAUUAAUUUGUAAAAGAGCUCUAUUUAAUUAGUUUAAAGGAAAUUAAGCACUUACAUAAAUAAUCAAACAUAUAAGACAUUGGCCAGAAUACAUUUUAGGUUCAUAAAUACUCAAUAUUGAAUUAAUAUCUGGUAUAUCUGAGGUUCAUGACAUUGUAGAGGAGACAGGAAUCAAGACCAUUCUCAUGGAAAAGAAAUGCAAAAAAGCAAAAUGGCAGUCUGGGGAGGCCUUACAAAUAGCUGUGAAAAGAAGAGUAAGCGAAAAGCAAAGGAGAAAAGGAAAGAUGUAAGCAUCUGAAUGCAGAGUUCCAAAAGAAUAGCAAGGAGAGUUAAGAAAGCCUUCCUCAGCGAUCAAUGCAAAGAAAUAGAGGAAAACAACAGAAUGGGAAAGACUAGAGAUCUCCUCAAGAAAACUAGAGAUACCAAGGGAACAUUUCAUGUAAAGAUGGGUUUGAUAAAGGACAGAAAUGGUAUGGACCUAACAGAAGCAGAAGAUAUUAAGAAGAGGUGGCAAGAAUACACAGAACUGUAUGACUCAGAUAAUCACGAUGAUGUGUUCACUUACCUAGAGCCAGACAUCCUGGAAUGUGAAGUCAAGUGGGCCUUAGAAAGCAUCACUAGGAACAAAGCUAGUGGAGGUGAUGGAAUCCAGUUGAGCUAUUUCAAAUCCUGAAAGAUGACGCUGUGAAAGUGCUACACUCAAUAUGCCAGUAAAUUUGGAAAAGUCAGCAGUGGCCACAGGACUGGAAAAGGUCAGUUUUCAUUCCAACCCCAAAGAAGGGCAAUGCAAAAGAAUGCUCAAACUACCGCACAAUUGCUCUCAUCUCACAUGCUAAUAAAGUAAUGCUCAAAAUUCUCCAAGCCAGGCUUCAGCAAUACAUGAACCGUGAACUUCCAGAUGUUCAAGCUGGUUUUAGAAAAGGCAGAGGAACCAGAGGUCAAAUUGCCAACAUCCGCUGGAUCAUCGAAAAAGCAAGAGAGUUCCAGAAACACAUCUAUUUCUAUGAUUUUAUUGACUAUGCCAAAGCCUUUGACUGUGUGGAUCACAGGAAACUGGAAAAUUCUGAAAGAGAUGGGAAUACCAGACCACCUGACC